AUACGAAAGGUGCAAGCGUCGUUCGGAUUUACUGGGCGUAAAGAGAUCGUAGGUGGUUUGUUAAGUUGGAUGUGAAAUCCCGGGGCUCAACCUCGGAACUGCAUCCAAAACUGACGGACUUGAGUUUGGGAGGGGUAAGCGGAAUUCCGUGUGUAGCAGUGAAAUGCGUAGAUAUACGGAGGAACACCUGAGGCGAAGGCGGCUUACUGGACCAAUACUGACACUGAGGAUCGAAAGCGUGGGUAGCAAACAGGAUUAGAAACCCUAGUAGUCC
rnacentral:rRNA from 1 species